rnacentral:rRNA from 1 species
CCUACGGGUGGCUGCAGUGGGGAAUAUUGGACAAUGGGCGAAAGCCUGAUCCAGCCAUGCCGCGUGUGUGAAGAAGGCCUUCGGGUUGUAAAGCACUUUCAGUGGGGAAGAAAGCCUUGGGGCUAAUACCCUCGAGGAAGGACAUCACCUACAGAAGAAGCACCGGCUAACUCCGUGCCAGCAGCCGCGGUAAUACGGAGGGUGCGAGCGUUAAUCGGAAUUACUGGGCGUAAAGCGCGCGUAGGCGGUCUGAUAAGCCGGUUGUGAAAGCCCCGGGCUCAACCUGGGAACGGCAUCCGGAACUGUCAGGCUAGAGUGCAGGAGAGGAAGGUAGAAUUCCCGGUGUAGCGGUGAAAUGCGUAGAGAUCGGGAGGAAUACCAGUGGCGAAGGCGGCCUUCUGGACUGACACUGACGCUGAGGUGCGAAAGCGUGGGUAGCAAACAGGAUUAGAUACCCCGGUAGUC